GCGCGCUUGGCGAAAUUGGUAGCCGCAGGGGACUUAAAAUCCCCCGCCUCCGGGCUUGGGGGUUCGAGUCCCCCAGCGCGCACCA
rnacentral:tRNA from 1 species